rnacentral:rRNA from 1 species
GACAGAGGGUGCAAACGUUGUUCGGAAUUACUGGGCGUAAAGCGAGUGUAGGCGGUCUCAUAAGUCGGGUGUGAAAGCCCUGGGCUCAACCCAGGAAGUGCACUCGAAACUGCGAGGCUAGAGUAUCGGAGAGGUUGGUGGAAUUCUCGGUGUAGAGGUGAAAUUCGUAGAUAUCGAGAGGAACACCGGCGGCGAAGGCGGCCAACUGGACGAAUACUGACGCUGAGACUCAAAGCGUGGGGGAGCGAACAGG